GGGGCUGCGGCGGGGCGUCCCUGCGAGCCCCCCAGCAUCUGGUCUGUCCUGAGCCUGCGUCCCCAGAGGCAGGGCCUGGCUUCCGUGUACCUGGGCUAGGAGCACAACCUUCAUUCACGGGAGAGUAAACUGAGGCCCAAGGAGGGAAAACAUCCUACCCUGGGUCAUGCGGGGCUAUGGUGUGGGUUCCCGACCCUUGGCCUUGGCGAUCGCAUCUGUUAGGUGGGAUGGGUACCCUCACUAGAGAGUAAAACGGCGCCCUCUGCCGGCCGGGCCGCACAACUCCCUACAUCCCCCAAAACUCAGCUGCGCAUUCACUGACCGGGACGCAACCCAGGAGGAAAUUUCCAUCUCAGGGUCCCGAGGUGGGGCAUAGCAGGACGCAAAUCCAGGCUAUUCUGGACCGAAGCCGGGCGCGCCUGGGGGCGCGGGGACCGGGGGCCAGGGCUGCCCACCGAGGGCGCGAGGCCCCGUGCCCCAGCAGGGGGGCAGACAGCAGUUACUUGUGAUGGUGCUUGUCCAGAGGCCUGCGUAUUCUGAGAGCCGGCCAAAGAUUGGGGCGUGGGGAGGCCUCCCCAUAGAAGUCCCCGUGGAAGGUGAGGCGAGGCUCAGGAGCGCCUCUAACAGAACCCAAAGGACCAGAGACCCUUGUGGUUGGAGGGCGAGCUGGGUAGAGGAGAGCAGCAGAGCAUGGAGAAGCUCUUGCUGUGUGAGAACCUGGCUGUCAUCCCCACAGAAGAGGAAACAGCUAAAGUCCAGGGUGGUGCUAGUUAUCCUUUGUCUUGCUGACGAACCAGCGCCCCAGAUUGGGACCACUGUGCAGUGAGCUGUAAGGGACAUCUUGUGCAGGCUCUUGGAGGCAGUUAGACUUGAUGGACUGCUGAGUCACCAGGCGAUGCGUGGCAAGUUCUUUCCAAGAUGGAAAUCGGAUAAUGUAAUGCUCAAGUAUCAUGCAUGAUCAUCAGUUCCUGGAGGGCCAUAGACGUGAGCACAAUAAGGAAAACUGCAAGAGUUUUAGAAGACGACAGAGCAAAUCAUCUUUAUGACCAUGGGCUAGGGAAGAUUUCUUCAAUGAAACAUCAAAAAUAAAUAAGGAUCAAUUUGACUAUCUUAAAAUUGGUUAUUUUGUUCAUUAAAAUUACAGAGUUCAGUAAG